AUUGAACGCUGGCGGCAUGCGUAACACAUGCAAGUCGAACGGUGUUUGGUGCUUGCACCAGACAUAGUGGCGGACGGGUGAGUAAUGCGUAGGAAUCUGUCUUAGAGAGGGGGACAACCCGAGGAAACUUGGGCUAAAACCGCAUAUUCUCGAGAGAGGAAAGCAGGGGACCGGAAACGGCCUUGUGCUCUAAGGUGAGCCUACGUCGGAUUAGCUAGUUGGUAGGGUAAAAGCCUACCAAGGCGAUGAUCUGUAGCUGGUCUGAGAGGACGGACAGCCACACUGGGACUGAGACACGGCCCAGACUCCUACGGGAGGCAGCAGUGGGGAAUAUUGGACAAUGGGGGAACCCUGAUCCAGCGAUGCCGCGUGUGUGAAGAAGGCCUGCGGGUUGUAAAGCACUUUCAGUGGGAAA
rnacentral:rRNA from 1 species